rnacentral:tRNA from 1 species
GGCCCUAUCGUCUAGUGGUUAGGACGCCAGGUUUUCAUCCUGAUAACCGGGGUUCGAUUCCCCGUAGGGCUA